rnacentral:misc_RNA from 1 species
GAAAUGCGAUAAGUAAUGUGAAUUGCAGAAUUCAGUGAAUCAUCGAAUCUUUGAACGCACAUUGCGCCCGGCAGCAAUCUGCCGGGCAUGCCUGUCCGAGCGUCAUUUCUGCCCUCGAGCGCGGUUCGGCCCCUAGCGGGCCGGCCGCCGCCCGGUGUUGGGGCGCUGUGGGCCCUCGUGCCCGCAGGCCCUGAAAUGAAGUGGCGGUCCCGCCGCGGCGCCCCCUGCGUAGUAGUAAAGCACCUCGCAUCGGGUCCCGGCGUCGGCCAGCCUUCGAACCCCUCUCUCUUGAUGGUUUGACCUCGGAUCAGGUAGGGUUACCCGCUGAACUUAAGC